GCCUUGAGCCGCCCGCCAGCCCUACGCGGGUUACGGCUCAGGAGCCAGCGGCAGCCCCGACGACGCCGCCGCCGCACAGGCGCCUGGCUUGGGGCUGGUUUCCCCGGAGCGCCGAGGAGCCAAAGGCAGCGGCUGCCGCCCCUGCUGGAGCGUAUCUCGGUCCGUCCGUCACUCCCGCCCCCCCCCUCCGGGGGCCUCCUCCCAGCAGCGGCAGGGGGCGAUAUGCUUCAAAGUGCCUGAAACCUGGACCUGGAAGGACAUUUAGAGAUUAACUUUCAAAGGGUAUGCCUCUUUGGAGGGAGCCUGUUGGUGACAGGGCCAUAAAUACUGGUAAAAUACAGGUUUUUGGAUUAUAAUGCCUGGAAGCAACACAAGAGGAAGUAGAACAGCCAUCAAAUAGGAGCAGAUCUGAAUAAACAGACUUGGGUAGGCCACCAAGGAGUUAUAGCAAAUACUGCCUCUUCUUUUUGAGAGUGUGGGCAUGUUCUGCCAAUGAUUGCAGUGGUCAGAGUAAAGGUACUAGCAAUGUAUAGUACUUCUGAAAUAUUCUCAGUUAUUAACAGAUUCCUCCUCCUCCAGCUCAGGGAAGAUGAGGGAACCAAAAUUCUGGAGGCUGAUUAAGGCUGAUAUGUUUCUCCAUGGAAAAAAACAAACAAACAAAAAAAUCCCUAGAUGUUUCUUACUGGGGGAAAAGGAAAAAUAACUUCUGUAGAAAACUUGUGAAGCCUAUCUGUGCACUUGCCCCAAUUCUGUACAAUCUUUAUAGCUGCAAGUAAGAUUUAUGUAAAGUUUGAGGUGAAGUUCAUUAAAAUGGGAUUUUCUAAUGCACUCAGUGUAGGGCUAACUCUGCUUUAAUUGAAGUCAAUGGGAGUUUCACCAUUGACAUAAUGCUCUCAUUGAAACCAAUGCUGAACAGCUUCUGAAAAUCCUGCCCUUAAGAAAAUACAUACAUAGACUUUAACUCUGAGUGCCUUCAGCUCCCAUUUAACUUUGUGGGAGCUGAGGGCACUCAGCACCUCACAAGAUCAGCCCCAUAGACAACUAUGACUGCUUCAACUGCCUUCAAGUACUUAUUUUUCACAUCAUCCUCUUCCCUUUUCUUAAUAUCUUUUAUGCAUACAUAGCUACUGAGGAGGAGCUUUUUGAGCCAGUUAUUUUCCAUCCCAAGUGUUUUUCUACAAUACUCACCUCCUUCAGGAUAAUGAGUUGGUGCUGAAUAAAAGUCAAGCUUAUCCUUAAGGUCUUCUUCAUUCUCUUUUUCCCACUGCAAGCCUAUCCUCUUCCAAUAACUCACAGCCAGUUGCCUAAAGUAUAAAACCAAAGUGUUUGAACCACCCAUCUUUACAUAUUUAAAAAUGCAUCCAUUCUGUAUGUGACUGCUGGAAAACAAGAAUCCCCUCUACACUCAACUGGAAGACUUCUUUGAAUACACUGGGACAAACACUAACUUCAGAUACACUUAUGCAACUGUAAUGGCUAGAAACUUUUUUUUUUUUUUAAAUGAAGCUUAAGUUCAACAGAAAUAAACAGUGUGAAUCUCAACUAGCUAGGGGAAAAAACCCUUUUGCUUUGAGAAGAAGAAUACAACCUCCUCUACCCUCUUUAUAAUCACACUUAUUUGAAUGCAGCACUAAAAAAAAAAAACUACUGAAGAGUUUUAGAAACAAGCAAAUGUAGAAAUAGAAGAGCAGGACGUUUUCCUGAACUCUACCUGAGUGAAGAAAUACUUUAAUACAAAGUUAUCUAUAAAAACUGGAUCCUUUGUUCUGCUUACUUGUUCUCGGGCAUUUCAUCAGUAAAGCUGCUGAGUAACAAAGGAAUCAACUUGUGAAAGUAAGAAUAUCUAUCCCGCAGGUGCAACAGCCAUUCUCCAACAACACUUGUAACAGCUUGCCGAACCU